rnacentral:rRNA from 1 species
GACGAACGCUGGCGGCGUGCUUAACACAUGCAAGUCGAACGGUAAGGCCCUUCGGGGUACACGAGUGGCGAACGGGUGAGUAACACGUGGGUGAUCUGCCCUGCACUUCGGGAUAAGCCUGGGAAACUGGGUCUAAUACCGGAUAGGACCACUGCCUGCAUGGGUGGUGGUGGAAAGCUUUUGCGGUGUGGGGAUGGGCCGCGGCCUAUCAGCUUGUUGGUGAGGUGAUGGCCUACCAAGGCGACGACGGGUAGCCGGCCUGAGAGGGUGACCGGCCACACUGGGACUGAGAGACGGCCCAGAGUCCUACGGGAGGCAGCAGUGGGGAAUAUUGCACAAUGGGCGCAAGCCUGAUGCAGCGACGCCGCGUGAGGGAUGACGGCCUUCGGGUUGUAAACCUCUUUCAGCACCGACGAAGCGCAAGUGACGGUAGGUGCAGAAGAAGGACCGGCCAACUACGUGCCAGCCGCCGCCGUAA